rnacentral:lncRNA from 1 species
AUGGCGUGUAUUAGUUCAUCCAUCCUUACAAGUGGUUCGACAGGUGGUUGCCAUUAUGGAUGAACUCUCUGAUCACUAGAUAGAAAUAUUUCAUAAGCUAUUUUAAAUUCUUGAUCUGACUAGAGAUUACAGUAAAAAACUUCUUCUCCUAGGUCAAUAGUCUCAUAGAUCUCAUCCUUGAUCAGAUUUACAUCAACAAAUUGGUCUCUUUUAUUUUCAAGAUUGAAAAUAUUAAGAUCAAUGGUCAUGUUUCCAAAUGAGAGUUUCAUGAGUCUAUUGCGAUAAUUGAUUA